rnacentral:rRNA from 1 species
GACGAACGCUGGCGGCGUGCCUAAUACAUGCAAGUAGAACGCUGAAGGAAGGAGCUUGCUCUUUCUGGAUGAGUUGCAAACGGGUGAGUAACGCGUAGGUAACCUGCCUGGUAGCGGGGGAUAACUAUUGGAAACGAUAGCUAAUACCGCAUAAAAUUGAUUAUUGCAUGAUAGUCAAUUAAAAGGUGCAACUGCACCACUACCAGAUGGACCUGCGUUGUAUUAGCUAGUUGGUGGGGUAACGGCUCACCAAGGCGACGAUACAUAGCCGACCUGAGAGGGUGAUCGGCCACACUGGGACUGAGACACGGCCCAGACUCCUACGGGAGGCAGCAGUAGGGAAUCUUCGGCAAUGGACGGAAGUCUGACCGAGCAACGCCGCGUGAGUGAAGAAGGUUUUCGGAUCGUAAAGCUCUGUUGUAAGAGAAGAACGAGUGUGAGAGUGGAAAGUUCACACUGUGACGGUAUCUUACCAGAAAGGGACGGCUAACUACGUG